CAGUCGUACCUUCGGGUAAUCAGCCUUUCGGGUGCGAUUCUGUGGAGUUUGAGGAGCUUAACACCUUCAUGCUUUGCAUAUUCGUGCUCUUGGGUGUACUUGCCCGUGUGGUUGGUUAACAUCAAUUUCGGGCACCAUAAAAUGGCUGGAGGAAUGUAGCUUCGAUCUUGUAUUGAAGUGUUAUAGCCUUUGGUAGAUGUGGUGAUCGAGAUUGAGGAUUGCAACGGAUACCUUUCGGGGCUACCUGUCUGAUCUCUGAUCGUUGCUCUGGUGCCGAAAGCUUGCUUACGGUUAUCAAAGUCGAUGGUCAAUAGGUUAGAACGGGUUAAA
rnacentral:rRNA from 1 species